CCUACGGGGGGCAGCAGUGGGGAAUAUUGCACAAUGGGCGCAAGCCUGAUGCAGCCAUGCCGCGUGUGUGAAGAAGGCCUUCGGGUUGUACAGCACUUUCAGCGGGGAGGAAGGCGGUGAGGUUAAUAACCUCAUCGAUUGACGUUACCCGCAGAAGAAGCACCGGCUAACUCCGUGCCAGCAGCCGCGGUAAUACGGAGGGUGCAAGCGUUAAUCGGAAUUACUGGGCGUAAAGCGCACGCAGGCGGUCUGUCAAGUCGGAUGUGAAAUCCCCGGGCUCAACCUGGGAACUGCAUUCGAAACUGGCAGGCUAGAGUCUUGUAGAGGGGGGUAGAAUUCCAGGUGUAGCGGUGAAAUGCGUAGAGAUCUGGAGGAAUACCGGUGGCGAAGGCGGCCCCCUGGACAAAGACUGACGCUCAGGUGCGAAAGCGUGGGGAGCAAACAGGAUUAGAUACCCCAGUAGUC
rnacentral:rRNA from 1 species